rnacentral:rRNA from 1 species
UGCCAGCCGCCGCGGUAAUACGGAGGGUGCAAGCGUUGUUCGGAAUUAUUGGGCGUAAAGCGCGUGUAGGCGGUUCGUUAAGUCUGAUGUGAAAGCCCGGGGCUCAACCCCGGAAGUGCAUUGGAAACUGGCGAACUUGAGUACGGGAGAGGAAAGUGGAAUUCCGAGUGUAGGGGUGAAAUCCGUAGAUAUUCGGAGGAACACCAGUGGCGAAGGCGGCUUUCUGGCUUGCAACUGACGCUGAGAUACGAAAGCCAGGGGAGCGAACGGGAUUAGAUA